rnacentral:rRNA from 1 species
UGACUCUCGGCAACGGAUAUCUCGGCUCUCGCAUCGAUGAAGAACGUAGCGAAAUGCGAUACUUGGUGUGAAUUGCAGAAUCCCGUGAACCAUCGAGUCUUUGAACGCAAGUUGCGCCCAAAGCCGUUAGGCCGAGGGCACGUCUGCCUGGGCAUCUCACA